AUUGAACGCUGGCGGCAUGCCUUACACAUGCAAGUCGAACGGCAGCACGGGAGCAAUCCUGGUGGCGAGUGGCGAACGGGUGAGUAAUAUAUCGGAACGUGCCCGGUCGUGGGGAUAACGUAGCGAAAGCUACGCUAAUACCGCAUACGAUCUACGGAUGAAAGCGGGGGAUCGCAAGACCUCGCGCGAUUGGAGCGGCCGAUAUCAGAUUAGGUAGUUGGUGAGGUAAAGGCUCACCAAGCCGACGAUCUGUAGCUGGUCUGAGAGGACGACCAGCCACACUGGGACUGAGACACGGCCCAGACUCCUACGGGAGCAGCAGUGGGAAUUUGGACAAUGGGCGCAAGCCUGAUCCAGCAAUGCCGCGUGCAGGA
rnacentral:rRNA from 1 species